UCUAUCACGCUCAGUUGAGCUUCACUCUGAGUGACAAACAAGCAGCAACAAGAGCUCCGUCAGCAUGAAGACACACAUUAACUCCAACCUUCAGCCUCCUGCAUGAUCUUCCUCUGAAGGAUAAUCAGAAACAGCUUAUUAAAGACGAUGAUCAAGAUUCAGGAUGCAAAAUAGAAACUAAACCAAGUCUAACUGAUGAACAUGGUCCUAAAUGAGAACAGCAGAACGUUCUCAGUCCUGGACCUAUGGACUGGAUCUAUCUAUGUCUGCAUCAUGGAUCCACAUGGAGAAGAACUGAACAGAGGAAGAGAAACAUCUGAAUGAGAGACUUGAUAAAGAUGGAAAAAGAUCCAAGAAGAUCAGUGAGCAACUAAAAACCAGUGAAUCACAGAGUCAGCAGGAAUCAGGAGGUCUAGAAGGAGUCAUAGUUCCACUAAUCAGGAGGUCUAGAGGGAGUCAUAGUUCCACUAAUCAGGAGGUCUAGGAGGAGUCAUAGUUCCACUAAUCAGGAGGUCUAGAAGGAGUCAUAGUUCCACUAAUCAGGAGGUCUAGAAGGAGUCAUAGUUCCACUAAUCAGGAGGUCUAGAAGGAGUCAUAGUUCCACUAAUCAGGAAGUCUAGAAGGAGUCAUAGUUCCACUAAUCAGGAGGUCUAGGAGGAG